UUGCAGCCAAUUAAGCCGACUGUGCUCUUUUCCCCAUGGGGGCCCAGUGUGCAAUGGCUGCAAAUAGCAGGCUCCUUGGUAGUGUAUGCAACCUGUUGCCUGUACAGGCUGCCCUAAGGGACCUUGGAGACAACU
ensembl:snoRNA SNORA70 Small nucleolar RNA SNORA70